rnacentral:rRNA from 1 species
GAUGAACGCUGGCGGCGUGCCUAAUACAUGCAAGUCGAGCGAACAGACGAGGAGCUUGCUCCUCUGACGUUAGCGGCGGACGGGUGAGUAACACGUGGAUAACCUACCUAUAAGACUGGGAUAACUUCGGGAAACCGGAGCUAAUACCGUAUAAUAUAUUGAACCGCAUUGUUCAAUAGUGAAAGACGGUUUUGCUGUCACUUAUAGAUGGUUCCGCGUCGCAUUAGCUAGUUGGUAAGGUAACGGCUUACCAAGGCGACGAUGCGUAGCCGACCUGAGAGGGUGAUCGGCCACACUGGAACUGAGACACGGUCCAGACUCCUACGGGAGGCAGCAGAAGGGAAUCUUCCGCAAUGGGCGAAAGCUUGACGGAGCAACGCCGCGUGAGUGAUGAAGGUCUUCGGAUCGUAAAACUCUGUUAUUAGGGAAGAACAAAUGUGUAAGUAACUAUGCACGUCUUGACGGUACCUAAUCAGAAAGCCACGGCUAACUACGUG